rnacentral:sRNA from 1 species
AUCGCGAUUUUCGAGAUUAUUCUUGGAAAGAGUGUGACGCUUUGUGAUCCUAGGAUUUUCCUUUUUCUCGCUCUUCUGACGCUUUAUAUAUCGAGGUUAAACUCUUGGCUUCUGAUAUAUCUCUGUUUUCACUGAUUUUAUCUAUGUUUUAGGUAUAGGAUUUCGAGUCUUUAUAUUAUUUCCCGAGUCGUUUUAGUGUCUUUUCAGGUAUUCUAUGCAGUGGGACAACAAUGGAGAUGAGAAGACAUUCUGGAGCAAAAGCUAAGGAAAGGAAGCCAAGGACGAUUUUGGAUUCAGGAAUCAGCGAGGACUGUCGAUCGACACACUCUUGGUGUCGAUCGACACCAGUUUCGGCCCAGCAAAGUCCAAGACGCUUUCAAGUUUAGAGAAGAGGAAUUUGCCCCAGAAGACUUCCGUAUUUGCAUUAUUAGUCCUUGGACGUUUUAUAGGGUUUAUAUACAUUGUUUAGACCUAUGUUUUCAUCAUCCAGUUUUCUAUCAAGUUCUUAUA